rnacentral:rRNA from 1 species
UUCCGGUUGAUCCUGCCGGAGCGCACUGCUAUCAGAGUUCGAUUAAGCCAUGCGAGUCGAGAGGUGAAAGACCUCGGCAUACUGCUCAGUAACACGUGGACAAUCUAACCUACGGAGGGGGAUAACCCCGGGAAACUGGGGAUAAUACCCCAUAGACUAUGGAUGCUGGAAUGCUUUGUAGUCGAAAGGUCCGCCGCCGUAGGAUGGGUCUGCGGCCGAUUAGGUUGUUGUUGGGGUAACGGCCCAACAAGCCUGUAAUCGGUACGGGUUGUGGGAGCAAGAGCCCGGAGAUGGAUUCUGAGACACGAAUCCAGGCCCUACGGGGCGCAGCAGGCGCGAAAACUUUACAAUGCGGGAAACCGUGAUAGGGGAACUCUGAGUGCCCGUUAAAUCGGGCUGUCCAUCAGUUUAAAUAACUGGUGAAGAAAGGGCCGGGCAAGACCGGUGCCAGCCGCCGCGGUAAUACCGGCGGCUCGAGUGGUGGCCACUAUUACUGGGCUUAAAGCGUUCGUAGCUGGUUUGUUAAGUCUCUGGGGAAAUCUUCCGGCUUAACCGGAAGGCGUCUCAGGGAUACUGGCAGACUAGGGACCGGAAGAGGUGAGGGGUACUCCAGGGGUAGGAGUGAAAUCCUGUAAUCCUUGGGGGACCACCUGUGGCGAAGGCGCCUCACCAGGACGGCUCCGACAGUGAGGGACGAAAGCUGGGGGAGCAAACCGGAUUAGAUACCCGGGUAGUCCCAGCCGUAAACGAUGUGCGUUAGGUGUAUCGGUGACCACGAGUCACGAGGUGCCGAAGAGAAAUCGUGAAACGUACCGCCUGGGAAGUACGGUCGCAAGGCUGAAACUUAAAGGAAUUGGCGGG